rnacentral:rRNA from 1 species
GAUGAACGCUAGCGGCGUGCCUAAUACAUGCAAGUCGAGCGAAUGGAUUAAGAGCUUGCUCUUAUGAAGUUAGCGGCGGACGGGUGAGUAACACGUGGGUAACCUGCCCAUAAGACUGGGAUAACUCCGGGAAACCGGGGCUAAUACCGGAUAACAUUUUGAACCGCAUGGUUCGAAAUUGAAAGGCGGCUUCGGCUGUCACUUAUGGAUGGACCCGGGUCGCAUUAGCAAGUUGGUGAGGUAACGGCUCACCAAGGGAACGAUGCGGAGCCGACCUGAGAGGGUGAUCGGCCACACUGGGACUGAGACACGGCCCAGACUCCUACGGGAGGCAGCAGUAGGGAAUCUUCCGCAAUGGACGAAAGUCUGACGGAGCAACGCCGCGUGAGUGAUGAAGGCUUUCGGGUCGUAAAACUCUGUUGUUAGGGAAGAACAAGUGCUAGUUGAAUAAGCUGGCACCUUGACGGUACCUAACCAGAAAGCCACGGCUAACUACGUGCCAGCAGCCGCGGUAA